AAAUACAGCUGAGAGCCUCUGUUGACAGAUGGAUGCCUUCUUAAUCACAGCCUGUGUGGGUAAAGGGAAAGCCUUGCCUGGCCAACCCCUCCCACUCCCACCCCCACCUCCUGCAUUGAUUCACAAACCUGGACUGCUCUGGAGGAGGCUGGGAAAGUCCAUCCCCAGGGAAUACCACUUUUUUCCUCUUCUGUGCCUCUCACAGGACACCCACAUGACUAGGAGGAGGCAGAAAGUGAAUAGGGAGCUCUUAUUACUUUUUGAGUGUCAGCAAGUUAAGACAUCAUCUCCAGAAAACUGUGCUAGUUGGCAUCCAGCAGUGCCCAAGUAUUAUUUAACCCACUAGAACCUGUGACUGCAUCAGCUUUAUAUCCUGGACCUCAGCCUGGAACAAAGGAGAGCUACACUUGGAUACUAAACACAAGUGGUCUGGAUAGAUUAUGCUGGGAAAAGAAGCCUGGAGCAGGCAGUACAGUGGGAGAACAAGGAGAGAAUGGAGUUGCAGCAGACUGCUCAGGAAUUGUACAUCACCAGUAGCUUCUGUCUCAGCUAAGUGUGGGAGACUGAUACUGAUGAGCCAUUAACAAUGGUGGAGAUUCUGAAUCACUGAAGCACUUGAUAAAAGAAAUGUCGUGGGUGAUGUGAAAAUCUACAUAUGCCCAUGAGAGUAUAUUGAGUUUACAGAAGUGCUUGCCUUGGUGAUCCAAAAAAGGCAGGAUCCGGCCGGGGGCAAGGUGAUUAUUCUGUCUGAUGAGGAGAAUAAGAGCCAGUUUGUGGUAUUGACAGAAGAAUGAAAGUAAAGAUGUAUAAGGAGACCAUUUUAUUCUCAAGUAAUAAAGUUAAUGAAUCUGAUUUCAAAUAAUAUCUUUAAAAUGAAAAUGCUCAUAGAAGGAGUUAGGAAAGUUCAAUCAAAAUUGUCAAUAAGAGAAGAUUUCUACUUCUGAGAAGAUGGAGUAGACAUACAUCUACAAAACGGAUAGACCUUAAAAGAGAAAUAGACAAGACUACAAUUAUACUUCAAGGUUUCAACAUCCCUUUCUCAGCAACUGACAGAACUGAACAAAAAUUCAGCAAGGAUAUAGAAGAAUCAACAACACCAUCAAUCCACAGACUCAAAUGAACAUUUGUAGAAUACUGCCCCCCCAACAGCAGAUUACACAUUCUUUUCAAGCACUCAGGGAAUAUAUAUCAAUAUAGACUGUAUCCUAGGCAAUAAAACAAAAGACAACACAUUUAUAAUAAUUGAAAUUACAUAAAGUGUAUCCUCUGAUCACAAUGGAAUCAACCUGGAUACCAGCAGCAAAAA
rnacentral:lncRNA from 1 species